rnacentral:rRNA from 1 species
GACAGAGGUGCCGAGCGUUAGGCGGAAUCACUGGGCUUAAAGCGUGUGUAGGCGGAUCGUUAAGUGUCUUGUGAAAUCCCCCGGCUCGACCGGGGAACUGCUGGGCAUACUGGCGAUCUUGAGCGGCCUAGGGGCAGAUGGAACAAGUGGUGGAGCGGUGAAAUGCGUAGAUAUCACUUGGAACGCCAAAGGUGAAAACAGUCUGCUGGGGGCCUGCUGACGCUGAGACACGAAAGCCAGGGGAGCGAACGGG